rnacentral:rRNA from 1 species
UACGUAGGGUGCGAGCGUUAAUCGGAAUUACUGGGCGUAAAGCGUGCGCAGGCGGUUCGCCAAGUCAGGUGUGAAAUCCCCGGGCUUAACCUGGGAAUUGCGCUUGAAACUAGCGGGCUUGAGUGCGGCAGAGGGGGGUGGAAUUCCACGUGUAGCAGUGAAAUGCGUAGAGAUGUGGAGGAACACCGAUGGCGAAGGCAGCCCCCUGGGCCGACACUGACGCUCAUGCACGAAAGCGUGGGGAGCAAACAGG